UUCCUCUUGCCCUGUAAUUGGUUGGUUCUGGACGACCGGCGGGGAUGGAAGCGGCCUCGGGUCGCGGGCGCCUGCGGUCGCCGCCGUGCAAGGUGCUGGCUGAGCAGCUGCGGCUCGGUGCGAGGAGGGACGGGCAGCCGUCGGCGUGGCUGCUGGAUCGGCCUGGCGGUCACCGGGCUCCGCUGGACGUGAGCGUGGUGUGGAUGCAGGGCACGGUGCUGGAGGUGCGGCCUGAGCACAACACCAGCCUCCAGCUCCUCGACGAGACGGGCUCGUUCACUGUGGUCGGGGCGGCCGGCGUCCCGCAGGGGAGACCCUGCACCAGCCGAGCUUUAAAGAGGAAGAAGAAGUUCAGCUUCAACAUUCUGAGGAAUGUGGAUAACCACAUUGGCAAUUAACUGGAUCACUUGUGACAAGAUCACAAAAGUCUACACAGACAUAAUAACAUCAUGGGGGAUGACCCUUUACAGAGAAGGUGCUGGAUUUGAACUCUGAGCUCCAACGCACUGAGCUGAAAUAGCAUUGCACCAACCGCUACGCUACUGUGGCGCAGAAGCUACAAGGGAGAUUGAAACAUCGAAGUGAAUGCAGAAGGUGAGCAUGGCUGCCUGCCUUUUGAUUGCUGAGGAUCGCUCUGCUACACUACCUGAGAGGGGAGAGCCCGCUGCUGGGCCUGGAGAAUGUUGCACAGCCUUUCUGCAUUUGGGAUGUGGAGUUGGACUAUAGACUUCUUUUUCGGUCUUAUUUUUUUUUCGUAUUUUGUGUUUUUUGCCCAACCUCCCUAAUUUUUUUGUAGGGUUGGGGAUUUGCGGGUCAAUGUGCCUGUCCCAUUUUGUUCACUUUUUUGUGGGAGGAGGUAUUUGGGGGUUGUUGUGCCUGUUCUAUUAUUGUUCACUUUUUUGCGGGAGGAGGUAUUUGGGGGUUGUUGUGCCUGUUCUAUUAUUGUUCGCAUUUUUGUGCAGGGAGGGAAGAUUUAGGGGCUGAUGUUUGUGCCUCCUUUUAUUUUCUUUAUUGGUUUCAUGCCUACCUGGAGAAGAAGAAUUUCAGAAUUGUAUACCUUGAUAAUAAAUAAAUGAACCUUUGUUGUUUUGUAACAGUGAUAUAGCACAAUACAUAACAAAUUACAAAUAAGAAAUAUAAAAUAAUAAACAAAUAAGUAGUGCUAAAAGAGAGCAAACGUUAGGUAGUGCUCAUGGGUUCAGAAAUGCGAUAACAGAAUGGAAGAAGCUAUUCCUGAAACGUUGAGUGUGUAUCUUCAGGCUCUUGUACCUCCUCCCUAAUGGUAGCAAUGAGAACAGGGGAUGUCCUGGAUGAUGAGAGAUCUUAAUGAUAGACACAAUAGAGAGAGAUGUUUAUUGUCUCAAAUUGCACAGACACAGACAAUUAAGAGUCAACCACAUGGCUGUAUCUGGUAUCACACAGAGGCCAGAACACGUAAGAAUUGCCACUUCCCUUUACUUAGGGAUACCAAUGAAUUAGAUGGGUUUUACAAAAAAAAAAACCAGUGGUUUCCCAGUUAUCAGUACUGAUACUAGUUUUUUUAUUUAACUGAUGCAUUUAUUUCAUUACUUGAAUCCUAGCUGCCUUAGUGGGAUUCAAACUCAUAAGUCUGGAUCAACAGCUGGGCUGUGAAUACCAAGUUCUCUCCCCUUGUUCUCUUAUUUCUGUUCACAAGUUCUGGUUCCCCUCUCACCCUUCUCUUCUCCUCACAUCUCCCUCCUCCUUCCCUUCUUUCAGUGGUCCAUUGUGCUCCCCUACAAGAUUCAUUCUUUUUCAGCCAUUUACCUUUUCCACAUCUUCUGCAUUCUUACUUCAUUCUCCCACUCCCCACCGAACCCACCCCUCUCCUGGUUUCACCUACCACCUGCCAAUAUGUACUCCUUACCCUUCCCUGAUCUUCUUAUUCUGGCUUUUUCCCUCUUCCUUUCCAGCCUUGGUGAGGGAUCUUGACAUGAAAUAUUGACUCUAUUUCUCUCCAUUGAUGCUGCCUGACUUGCUGUGUUUCUUCACCAUUUUGUGUGUGUUGCUGUGGAUUUCCAGCUUCUGCAGAAUCUUGUGUUUUUGGGCUGAGAAUCCAGUAACUUAACCACUAGGUAACUAAUGCAUGGUUAACCACUUCUCUGUGCCCAAUACAUGGUUAACCACUUCUCUGUACUGCAAUAACAUCCAUUCUUUUCAGCUAUUUUGGAGUUCAUGAUGUCCCUGUAUAAAUGUUUACAUUUUAUUGUUCAUUUUGUGCAGUGGUCAUUGCUUAUGAUAAAUAAAAUUAAAAUGUUUAAUCUUUGUAUAUUUUCUCUCAUUUUCCCUUCACUAUACCAAACCAUACAUUUGCUCCCAAUAACUGAAUGAUAACACUACAACAGCAAUAAUAAUAAUAUGUAAAAUUGUCAGUGGAAGCAAUGGGAGGAUUUAGCUGAGAAUGGAAGAGCGUGCCAAGUGUAAUUCCUCUUUUAUUUUAGAAUCAGAUUCAGAUUUAGUAUCACUGAUUUAUAUGACAUGAAAUGUAUUGUUUUGUGUCUGUAGUACAGUGGAA